ACCAAACUUUAGGGGUGACAGUCAGCCGACUGUCUGAGAAAUACCCUUUGAACCUGAUUUGGUUGGCACCAACGUAGGGAAAAGUUCAGAUGAUCUC
rnacentral:ncRNA from 2 species